GAUGAACGCUAGCUACAGGCUUAACACAUGCAAGUCGCGGGGCAGCAUGGGGGUUGCUUGCAAUCCCCGAUGGCGACCGGCGCACGGGUGAGUAACGCGUAUCCAACCUGCCCUUCACCACGGGAUAACCCGGCGAAAGUCGGACUAAUACCGUAUGUUGUCCAUUGACGGCAUCCGAUUUGGACGAAAGGUUUGGCGGUGAAGGAUGGGGAUGCGUCCGAUUAGCUGGACGGCGGGGUGACGGCCCACCGUGGCGACGAUCGGUAGGAGUUCUGAGAGGAAGGUCCCCCACACUGGAACUGAGACACGGUCCAGACUCCUACGGGAGGCAGCAGUGAGGAAUAUUGGUCAAUGGGCGUAAGCCUGAACCAGCCAAGUAGCGUGCAGGAUGACGGCCCUAUGGGUUGUAAACUGCUUUUAUGCGGGGAUAAAGUGGCCCACGUGUGGGUUUUUGCAGGUACCGCAUGAAUAAGAACCGGCUAAUUCCGUG
rnacentral:rRNA from 1 species